GAUGAACGCUGGCGGCGUGCUUAACACAUGCAAGUCGAACGAAGCACCUUAUUUGAUUUCCUUCGGGACUGAUUAUUUUGUGACUGAGUGGCGGAUGGGUGAGUAACGCGUGGGUAACCUGCCUUGUACAGGGGGAUAACAGUUUGAAACGGCUGCUAAUACCGCAUAAGCGCACGGCAUCGCAUGAUGCAGUGUGAAAAACUCCGGUGGUAUACGAUGGACCCGCGUUGGAUUAGCAAGUUGGUGAGGUAACGGCCCACCAAGGCGACGAGCCAUAAACGAGAAGUGAGAGAGACUCGCGACAUUUACAGGGAGACACAGUCCGGACUCCUACGGGAUGGAGCAGUGGGGGAUAUUGCAAAAUCGGGGAAGGGCUGAAGGAGCGACGCCGGGAGAGCGCAGUUGUAUGGCGGUAUGAAAAGCUCUAUAAGCAGGGAAGGUAAUGACGGUACCUGAAUAAGAAGCACCGGCUAAAUACGUG
rnacentral:rRNA from 1 species